UACGUAGGGUGCAAGCGUUGCCCGGAUUUAUUGGGCGUAAAGGGCGCGUAGGCGGCUCGGCACGUCCGUUGUGAAAUCGCCCGGCUCAACUGGGCGGGGUCAGCGGAUACGGCCGAGCUUGAGCAAGCUAGGGGGCAAUGGAAUUCCCGGUGUAGUGGUGGAAUGCGUAGAUAUCGGGAGGAACACCAGUGGCGAAGGCGGCUCACUGGCCCGAUACUGACGCUGAGGCACGAAAGCGGUGGGGAGCAAACAGG
rnacentral:rRNA from 1 species